rnacentral:rRNA from 1 species
UACGAGGGGUCCAAGCGUUGUUCGGAAUCACUGGGCGUAAAGCGGGUGUAGGUGGCUCUAUAAGUCACAUGUGAAAGCCCCGGGCUCAACCCGGGAAGUGCAUGUGAUACUGCAGAGCUUGAGUAAGGGAGAGGAUGGCAGAAUUCCUGGUGUAGUGGUGAAAUACGUAGAUAUCAGGAGGAACUCCGGUGGCGAAGGCGGCCAUCUGGCCCAUUACUGACACUCAGACCCGAAAGCGUGGGUAGCAAACAGG